GAUGAAGAACGUAGUGAAAUGCGAUAAGUAAUGUGAAUUGCAGAAUUCAGUGAAUCAUCGAAUCUUUGAACGCACCUUGCGCUCCUUGGUAUUCCUUGGAGCAUGCCUGUUUGAGUAUCAUGAAAUUCUCAAAGUAAAUCUUUUUGUUAAUUCAAUUAGGUUCACUUUGGAUUUGGAGGUUUUUUGCAGCUUCACACCUGCUCCUCUUUGUGCAUUAGCUGGAUCUCAGUGUUAUGCUUGGUGCCACUCGGCGUGAUAAGUUAUCUAUCGCUGAGGACACUUUUUUGUUUUUUUCUAAAAAAAUAAAAUAACUAAGUGGCCAAGGGAAAUGCAGAUGAACCGCUUCCAAUAGUCCAUUAGCUUGGACAAAUAUAUUUUUAUGAUCUGAUCUCAAAUCAGGUAGGACUACCCGCUGAACUUAAGCAUAUCAAUAAGCGGAGGA
rnacentral:misc_RNA from 1 species